rnacentral:rRNA from 1 species
AACGAACGCUGGCGGCAUGCCUAACACAUGCAAGUCGAACGAGACCUUCGGGUCUAGUGGCGCACGGGUGCGUAACGCGUGGGAACCUGCCCUUAGGUUCGGAAUAACUCCCCGAAAGGGGUGCUAAUACCGGAUAAUGUCUUCGGACCAAAGAUUUAUCGCCUUUGGAUGGGCCCGCGUUGGAUUAGCUAGUUGGUAGGGUAAAAGCCUACCAAGGCGACGAUCCAUAGCUGGUCUGAGAGGAUGAUCAGCCGCACUGGGACUGAGACACGGCCCAGACUCCUACGGGAGGAAGCAGUGGGGAAUAUUGGACAAUGGGCGAAAGCCUGAUCCAGCAAUGCCGCGUGAGUGAUGAAGGCCUUAGGGUUGUAAAGCUCUUUUACCCGGGAUGAUAAUGACAGUACCGGGAGAAUAAGCUCCGGCUAACUCCGUG